GAUGAAGAACGUAGCGAAAUGCGAUAAGUAAUGUGAAUUGCAGAAUUCAGUGAAUCAUCGAAUCUUUGAACGCACAUUGCGCCCAUUAGUAUUCUAGUGGGCAUGCCUGUUCGAGCGUCAUUAAGUCCACUUAAGCCCUGCUUAGUGUUGGGAGACUGCUCCAGCGGUGCUACCCUGUAGCUACCCUGCAGCUCCUCAAAGACAGCGGCGGAGUUGUGGUAUCCUCUGAGCUUAGUAACUUGUUCUAGCUUUCGAGUACACCACUUCCCCUGCCGUAAAACCCUUAAUUUUUAAUGGUUGACCUCGGAUCAGGUAGGAAUACCCGCUGAACUUAAGCAUAUCAAUAAGCGGAGA
rnacentral:misc_RNA from 1 species